UACGGGGGGGGCAAGCGUUGUUCGGAAUUACUGGGCGUAAAGGGCUCGUAGGUGGCCAACUAAGUCAGACGUGAAAUCCCUCGGCUUAACCGGGGAACUGCGUCUGAUACUGGAUGGCUUGAGUUCGGGAGAGGGAUGCGGAAUUCCAGGUGUAGCGGUGAAAUGCGUAGAUAUCAGGAGGAACACCGAUGGCGAAGGCAGGUCUCUGGGCAUUAACUGACGCUGAGGAGCGAAAGCAUGGGGAGCGAACAGG
rnacentral:rRNA from 1 species